rnacentral:rRNA from 1 species
CCUACGUGAGGCAGCAGUGGGGAAUAUUGGGCAAUGGAGGAAACUCUGACCCAGCAACGCCGCGUGAAUGAUGAAGGUCUUCGGAUUGUAAAGUUCUUUUCUAAGGGAAGAAGAAAGUGACGGUACCUUAGGAAUAAGCCUCGGCUAACUACGUGCCAGCAGCCGCGGUAAUACGUAGGAGGCGAGCGUUAUCCGGAAUGACUGGGCGUAAAGGGGGCGUAGGCGGGCUGUUAAGUCAGCGGUAAAAGCCCGGGGCCAAACCCCGGCGAGCCGUUGAAACUGGCUGUCUUGAGAUGUCGAGAGGUAUGCGGAAUGCGCAGUGUAGCGGUGAAAUGCUUAGAUAUUGCGCAGAACUCCGAUUGCGAAGGCAGCAUACCGGGCGAUCUGACGCUGAGGCACGAAAGCGUGGGUAUCGAACAGGAUUAGAUACCCGAGUAGUC